rnacentral:tRNA from 1 species
UGCUCAGUAGCUCAGUCGGCAGAGCAAGUGGCUGUUAACCACUGGGUCCGCGGUUCGAGUCCGUGCUGAGCAG